CAGCAGCAGCCGCGGUAAUACAGAGGGUGCGAGCGUUAAUCGGAUUUACUGGGCGUAAAGCGUGCGUAGGCGGCUUCUUAAGUCGGAUGUGAAAUCCCUGAGCUUAACUUAGGAAUUGCAUUCGAUACUGGGAAGCUAGAGUAUGGGAGAGGAUGGUAGAAUUCCAGGUGUAGCGGUGAAAUGCGUAGAGAUCUGGAGGAAUACCGAUGGCGAAGGCAGCCAUCUGGCCUAAUACUGACGCUGAGGUACGAAAGCAUGGGGAGCAAACAGGAUUAGAUACCCCAGUAGUCCCUGUCUCUUAUAA
rnacentral:rRNA from 1 species